AUAUGUAUGUAUGUAUGUAUAUAUACAAAUCAAUAGUUGGUAUCGAUGGCAAAGAAGGGAGCAUCUUCGUCAAAUCCUUCAAAUAGAGUGCCCACAUUAUAUCUAUAUUUUGUGAUGUUUGCAUUAAGAGGUUGAGGCCGGAAAUCGUCCGAGUACUCACUUUAACGAAGAAGGAUAUGCAAAUAUUAGAGCUAACUUCAAGGCAGAGACAGGGCAUGAUUAUGAAAGAGUGCAACUGAAAAAUAAGUCAGAUGCACUUAAAAAUCAAUGGAAGUCGUGGAAAGAGUUAGUUGGUAAAGAAACUGGCCUAGGGUGGAAUUCGAGUAAGGGUACUGUUGAUGCCUCUGAUGAGUGAUGAAAUAAUAAAAUUCAGAUAAACAAAGAAUAUGAAAAUUGCGAAAAAAAGGGCAUUAGUCCUGAGAUGGAGGACAAGUUGGAUAGGAUGUCCUCGAGUACAGUUGCUACCGGUGAACAUGCAUGGGCACCUUCAUCUGGAGUACUACCACUAGAGACAAGAAAUGAAUCUAUAGGACAAAUUGAUUCAGAUUAUGAGGAAGAAAUUGAGACUAUGCAAGAUCUAAGGCAAGCUAGUACAAAGGGAAAAAAAAGAGCAGCUUAUCAAUGAGAAUUGCAAAAGAAGAAGGUUGAUAAGAAAGGGAAAAAAUUGGAGGUGCUACAAAACUUUGUGGUCAAAUUGAUUGUCUUGUUGAAGCUUAUGAAACUAGGAGUUCUGCAUGAGGUCGCUGCGUAUAGGUACUAGUAUUAAGGAAAUGUUAGUGGCUGUUGUACAAUUGCCUGGAAAUUUGAUUCCUCACAAACAUAAACAUCAGCCUUUCCUUUAAGCCUUAACCAAUCCUUAAAAAUUUCACAA